rnacentral:tRNA from 1 species
CAAGGAAUAGUUUAAGUAGAAUUUCAGCUUUGGGUGUUGAAGGUGGGGCUAAUGCUUCUUCCUUGA